rnacentral:tRNA from 1 species
GUCUCUGUAGCUUAAACCAAAGCAUGGCUUUGAAGAUGCCAAUAUGAACCUCACUAAUUCCAGUGACA